rnacentral:rRNA from 1 species
GUCUAUAGCCAUGCCACCCUGAACAUGCCUGAUCGCGUCAGAUCUCAGAAGCUAAGCAGGGUUGGUUUAGUACUUGGAUGGGAGACCACCUAGGAAUACCAGGUACUGUAGGCG